AGAGAGAGAGAGAGAGAGAGAGAGAGAGAGAGAGAGAGAGAGAGAGAAUGGAGGAAACUCGAGUAUAUUCACAGAUAAACGGGACGAAAAAUGUAACUCUGAAAUCUUAGCAAAAGGAAACAUAAAAAUAACAAAUUUAUGCGUCGGGUGUAAAAGGAACCAUUGACCUAGCGUGACCUUGCCCGAGAGAGAGAGAGAGAGAGAGAGAGAGAGAGAGAGAGAGAGAGAGAGAGAGAGAUGGGUGCGGGGGAAGGAAGCAGUAUCUCUUAAACUCCUUCAGAGAAUAUAUGUGAGCCCGAGAAGAGUGACAGGAAAUCGCGUUCGUAAUAAUAAUAAUAUAACAAUGAGGUCAGGAUAAUCUGGUGCUUGCGAGGGGAACUUUAAGAGGGGAAAAAGUGUGUAUAUGUAAAGUUAAAGAUGUAAGUGGUAUCGUGGACGUCAUGUAAGAAAGAGGAGAACUGAUAAAUAACGACACAGCAAAAAGUAGAGAAAUAAAUGAAUAUGGAGAUGAAAAUAAAGAUGAGAUUAAAAGGAGAUAAGAGAAAAAUUAAUAAAAAAUGGAAUAUCUUGUCUAUCUCAGGUAUCAUAGAGGAGAACCGAUAUAUCACGACACAGCAAAAAGUAAAGAAAUAAAUGAAUAUAGAAAUGAAAAUAAAGAUGAGAUUAAAAGGAGAUAAGAGACAAAUAAAUACAAAUGGAGUGUCUUUUCUAUCUUAGGUAUCAUAGAGGAGAACCGAUAUAUCACGACACAGCAAAAAGUAAAGAAAUAAAUGAAUAUGGAAAUGAAAAUAAAGAUGAGAUUAAAAGGAGAUGAGAGACAAAUAAAUACAAAUGGAGUGUCUUAUCUAUCUUAGGUAUCUUAGACGCCAUUUAAGAAAGAGGAGAACCGAUAAAUCACAACACAACAAUAAAUAACGAAAGAAAGAAAUACAGAAAUGAAAGUAAAGAUGAGAUUAAAAGAGAGCAAGAGAUAAUGGUUCUAUCGAAAAAUAUAUAUUGAUAAGUAAAACAAACUACACUAAAAUAAAUAAAAUAAUAAGUGAUGUAAGUAAAGCGAGUAGCGUUUUUUAUUUUUUUAUUAUUGUUUCCUUUUUUUUGUGCCCUUGAGCUGUCUCCUUUGUUGUAAAAAAAAAAGGAAUAUAAAUCAUGUAGCAAGUAACAAUAAGCUUAGCAGACGAAAGAAAGGCAUCAUAUUUUCAACGCUUUCAGUCCGUUUGUAUUUAGAAACAACUCUUCGUGAAAAGUAAGCAAAAAAAUAACUAGUAACAAAUGUGUGUCUAUUAUGAACUUGUUGUAUUCUGUCCCUUGAAAUUGUGCAGCGCCAAUGACAAAUCACGAGUCUCAAAAAGAAGAAGAAGAGGCGGAAAAAUACGUGGAAGAGGGAAAAAAAUGAGCGUGGGAAGAAGUAAGAAAAAUCAUUCGACAAUUUCCAGACAAUCCAGAGAGGACAAAAAAUAGGAAAGAAGAAGUAGAAGAUGAUGCAUGAAAAGGAAAAAAAAAUUUCGACUAUUCUUACAGUCCGAAGAGAAAAAGAAGAGAGUAAAAAGAAGAAGAAGAAGAAAGAAGAAGAAAGAGAGGAAGAAGAAGAAGAAGAAGAAGGAAGAAGAAGUAGAUGAUGAUGCAUAAAAAGGAAAAAAAAUAAUUCGACUAUUCUUACAGUCCAAAGAGAAAAAGAAGAGAGUUAAAAGAAGAGUAAAAAGAAGAAGAAAGAGAGGAAGAAGAAGAAGAAGAAAGAAGAAGAAGUAGAAGAAGAUGAUGAUGCAUAAAAAGGAAAAAAAAUAAUUCGACUAUUCUUACAGUCCAAAGAGAAAAAGAAGAGAGUUAAAAGAAGAAGAAAAAGAAGAAGAAAGAGAGGAAGAAGAAGAAGAAGAAGAAAGAAGAAGAAGUAGAUGAUGAUGCAUAAAAAGGAAAAAAAAUAAUUCGACUAUUCUUACAGUCCAAAGAGAAAAAGAAGAGAGUUAAAAGAAGAGUAAAAAGAAGAAGAAACAGAGGAAAAAGAAGAAGAGGAAGAAGAAGAAGAAAAAAAAGAAGAUGACGAUGCAUAAAAAGGGAAAAAAAAUAAUUCGACUAUUCUUAAAAAGUCC